UUAAUAUUUACAUACACAUUUUUGUAGAAAAUUAUAAAAUAGACUAAACCUCAAAAGCUAAUUACAUACCAUUUUUGUAGAAAAUUAUAAAAUAAAGACUAAACCUCAAAAGCUAUUUACAUACCAUUUUUGUAAAAAAUUAUAAAAUAAAGACUAAACCUCAAAAGGUAUUUACAUACCAUUUUUGUAGAAAAUUAUAAAAUAAAGACUAAACCUCAAAAGCUAUUUAUAUACCAUUUUUGUAGAAAAUUAUAAAAUAAUGACUAAACCUUAAAAGCUAUUUACAUACCAUUUUUGUAGAAAAUUAUAAAAUAAAGACUAAACCUCGAAAGCUAUUUAUAUACCAUUUUUGUAGAAAAUUAUAAAAUAAAGACUAAACCUCAAAAGCUAUUUAUAUACCAUUUUUGUAGAAAAUUAUAAAAUAAAGACUAAACCUUAAAAGCUAUUUACAUACCAUUUUUGUAGAAAAUUAUAAAAUAAAGACUAAACCUCAAAAGCUAUUUACAAACCAUUUUUGUAGAAAAUUAUAAAAUAAAGACUAAACCUUAAAAGCUAAUAUCAAAUAUAAAUACCUCAAGGCAAAGUCACGACAUUAGUGCCUCCUUUGAUAAAUCCUCGACAAGAAGUUGGAGACAGUGAUGUGGGAAUUUCUGGGAACUUGUUGGAAGAAAGUCAAAUGUUCAAUCCUCCACAAGAAGUUGGAGACAGUGAUAUGGGGAUAAUUUGUACUUUAAGUUUAUUCAUAAUUGCAUAAUGCUCUUUAGAUUUAUCAGGAUGGUGGUGAAUAUGUUUCAAUGUAAAUUUCAUUUUAUUACAAAUUCAAUUGUUUUUUAGAUAUUUUUAUUAUUAAUUGUAAAAAAUGCUAACAUAUAAAAAUUGAAUUUAUUAUUCUUUGGGAAAGUAAAAUUAUAUUGGAAGUUCUAUAUUUAUAUUGAGAUUGAAUGGUGUUAUAUCUGUGAGGAAAAGAUUGGUGAAAAGGACAUCUUUUCCAUCUAUGAAAUUUUUUUCUCCAUAUUAAUUAAGUUGUUGUUGUUUUAAAAUGUCAUAUUACUAUUUAUUAUAUUUUAAUAAAGGAUAUUUUAAAUUUUA